UACAGAGGUCUCAAGCGUUGUCCGGAUUUAUUGGGCGUAAAGAGCGUGUAGGCGGCCAGGUAGGUCCGCUGUGAAAACUCGAGGCUCAACCUCGAGAUGUCGGCGGAAACCAUCUGGCUAGAGUCCGGAAGAGGAGAGUGGAAUUCCUGGUGUAGCGGUGAAAUGCGCAGAUAUCAGGAAGAACACCCGUGGCGAAGGCGGCUCUCUGGGACGGUACUGACGCUGAGACGCGAAAGCGUGGGGAGCGAACAGG
rnacentral:rRNA from 1 species